rnacentral:rRNA from 1 species
UACGUAGGGGGCAAGCGUUGUCCGGAUUUAUUGGGCGUAAAGAGCGUGUAGGCGGCUUGGUAGGUCUGCUGUGAAAACUCGGGGCUCAACCCCGAGACGUCGGUGGAAACCACCUGGCUAGAGUCCGGAAGAGGAGAGUGGAAUUCCCGGUGUAGCGAUGAAAUGCGCAGAUAUCGGGAAGAACACCCGUGGCGAAGGCGGCUCUCUGGGACGGUACUGACGCUGAGACGCGAAAGCGUGGGGAGCGAACAGG